rnacentral:lncRNA from 1 species
AUCAUUUGGAGUUUUAAGACCAACCAAGUUGUGGGCAUCAUCUCGUCGCAAACUUGACAGAUCACCUCUAACUUCUGAGCAUCAUCUUGUCUGAAACUUGAAAGAGAAUCAUCUCGUCUAAAACUUGAAAGAGCAUCAUCUCAUCUGGAGUUUUGAGCAUCAUCUCAUCUAGAGUUUGAGAGAGCAUCAUCAAAUAUGAAAUUAUAUUCAACCAUGACUCCAAUUGUCAACUAUCUAACAAACAUAACUCUAACAAUUUAGAUAUUUUAUUUAUGUAUGUAAUUUUAUUAGUUCAAACUCUAGA